CCCGUUCUUCUCGCUCCCCGCCUCCCCGGUUUGGUACUGCCUCUAGGCUUAAUUUUGUAAAUUUUAUUUUCAUCGGCUAUAUUUGUGAGCAGGGAAGAGGAAGCAUUCUGAGUGUUUUUUGCUUACAGCCAUUUGUAAUACAUAUCUGCUGGAUAUAUUAGUUGAUGGAUUUUGCUUGGUACAAACUUCGAAUGAAGUAUGCAUGAUGUUUGUGGGCAAUUUACACGGACAGCCCGCAGCUGUGAUUUAAAUUGCAGAGAUUGCUUCUACGGUAACUGAUGUUCAGUUUCUGUUCAUUGAUUUAUUGUUUUCUACUCCCUGGCACCCAUGAGUACUUCAUACCGAACCAGCUGAUGAAGUUGUGACAGAAAUGCAUGACAUUGCAUAUGGCUCCACAUUUCAUCUGUCUGAUUGAUUAAAUGGCACAUUUUGUUCCUUCCA